CAUGAGAAUUGCCUCAGGUCAUUGGAUGGGGGAUGGGAUGAGCCCUGCAUUCGGAUUCAGACCGAGGGCAAGAGUUUGAGGACCGCCCUUCAGCUGAUUUGAAUAUGCCCUUUACCGGAUACUUAAGGAGGAGCCACUCCUCCCAGAAAGGAAGAGGCGGGCCUUUCCAACCCCCACUUCCCUUGGAAGGUAAAACUGCGGACCCCUGGAUCCUUGGAGCAGAGCUUCCUUUAUUUCUCUCACAAACAUCCUAUUGCAAUAACUCUGCUUGCCUAUCACUUUGUCUCUCACUGAAUUCCUUCUGAGCAGAGGCAUAAAGAAGCUGAACCUCAGUGAGUCCAGGCACAGGUUCAGGCCAUUCGUGCUGUCAGUUUCAGAAUGAAGCUCUCGAGCAGCAUACUGGCCCACCACACAAUGUCAUUAGUUAACUUUAUCCCUGACAAAUUCAACUUUAAAAUGGGAAAUGGAGUUUCAAGCAGAAAAACGAGGAGCAUCGGAAAGCCAGCCUCCAACUAACACCUCAGCCAGAUUUUUGUGUAUGCAGUUAUUGGAGGAAGCUAGCUUGGAAAGAAGUCUUUUCAGGAUUCGCGACACUGGUGGAUGUCCCUUCUGCGUCUUGACUGACAUCCCUACCACUUGGGGACUUGGGCACCAGCUCAUCCGCUGAUGGACCCGACCCAGCGGCUACGACCGGGACCCUCUGGUCCCUGGUCUUCUCCCGAGGAGGGUGACUGGCCAGAGUGCCCCGACCGGGUAAGGGACAAGAGAUUUUCUGAGGUUUUCCACGUCCCUCCUCACGAGCUGCCCUCUUUCCGUCCCUUUGAGACCUUCGAAGCCCCGAGACACGUCCAUUUCCUCCGUUCAUUAGGACUCGGAUCCGAAGGGUCUAUGUCUCUGCAGGUCUUCUGAGAGGCUACAGUCUUGCACGUAAGGGAGUGUCUGAUGAGGAAGACCGUGCUUGUGGGAUUUGUGCUUUAUGUUCUGUGUUGACGUUGUGACGGCCAUUCUGCCGAGUGAAAGAGGAAGGUCUGGUUCUGUUCCACCGCAGAGCCCUGUCCAGAAUUCUGUCUGGCUGGAAAGAGGCUAAGACUAAGAAGAAAAAAAAACGUUUUAGCUGUAUGACCACAGUAUUGUUUAGAGUCCAGAGAAAGGUGGUUUUUGCACAUACAGUUAAAAAAAAUCAAGCUUGAGAAAACCUCUUUUCAGGAUUCUGAACCUGAGGGAAGAAGUCCUUCUAGGAGAACCUGCUUUUCUUGCAUUUGCCUUGACCUGGGCUCUCAGGAACACCUGUCUAGACCAUCUCUAAUUCCUGAGACUGAAAAGGAAAAAUUGGGAAAAGUCUUCAAAACUUAUUUUUAAGCUAGUGAGUUUUAUUUGUAAUAUCUGACUUGUGACUAAGCUUAGAAGAGGAAGCUAUGAGAUCUCUGUGUUCAUGUGUAUGUGCAUCACAUGUCUCACCUUUGGGAUGAUGUCAUCAGAAAUUAAAUGCAAAGGAGCCCUGCCUAAUUGGCUUAAAGGAAAUAAAGCAAUUAUAUAAAUUCUCAAAUAUAGAAGGUAACUGGUCAGAAUUAAGUUUUGGUUCACAUGAACUGAGAAAUAUUCCGUAUUAAAUUAAUAUCUAGCAUUAAAGCUAAAGUUUGUUAAUUAAUUAAUUGAGACAUGUCCUUAGACUUAUCAGCAUUCAGUAUAAUUCCUUUUUGUACCCAGGUUUCAUAGAAGUCAAAUGAGAUACUGAGACAUCAAUUACAAACAGAAACUAAAGGUAUUUAGGACUAUUACUGUGUUCAGUGUCACCCCGAGAUGUUCUCUGUAAGGAAAAGAUGUUUUUAGAAAUGAUAAAAGACAAUCCAUCAUUGCUUUAGAAAAGUAGCAUAUGUGUUUUCUUUGAAGAAGGAGUGAGGAAGGGAAUUGCACUUUAUCAAGGGAAAAAGGAGCAUUGUCUUGUAGUUUGUUGCUCUGGAUGGAAAAAUAAGGGACAGACCAAUAUGGAUACAGAAAGUGAUGCAAGAUGUGUGGGAAGUGGACACUGAGAAAAGAGUUUUGUGCAUGGUUGGAACCGACAAAGUUUAGACUAAAAUUAACUGUAAAUUAAUUUUAAAAGCAAGCUGGUGCAAAACUUGAAUUUGGCUUUUCUCCCUCUGCUAAGAGAACAAAGUCAUCUUGGAAUGCUACUUUUGACAACAGAUUAUGUGAAGUUUUUGACUCUA